CCUACGGGAUGCAGCAGUGGGGAAUUUUGGACAAUGGGCGCAAGCCUGAUCCAGCUAUUCCGCGUGUGGGAAGACGGCCUUCGGGUUGUAAACCACUUUUGUAGAGAACGAAAAGUCUGUUGAUAAUACCGAUAGAUGAUGACGGUACUCUAAGAAUAAGCACCGGCUAACUACGUGCCAGCAGCCGCGGUCAUACGUAGGGUGCGAGCGUUAAUCGGAAUUACUGGGCGUAAAGGGUGUGCAGGCGGUUUUGCAAGAUGGAUGUGAAAGCCCCGGGCUUAACCUGGGAAAGCCAUACAUGACUGCAAGACUAGAGUGCGUCAGAGGGGGGUGGAAUUCCAAGUGUAGCAGUGAAAUGCGUAGAUAUUUGGAAGAACACCGAUGGCGAAGGCAGCCCCCUGGGACGCAACUGACGCUCAUACACGAAAGCGUGGGGAGCAAACAGGAUUAGAUACCCCAGUAGUC
rnacentral:rRNA from 1 species